CGAAGGGGGCUAGCGUUGCUCGGAAUUACUGGGCGUAAAGGGAGCGUAGGCGGGUUAUCAAGUUGGAGGUGAAAGCCCAGGGCUCAACCUUGGAAUUGCCUUCAAAACUGAUAGCCUAGAGUAUGGAAGAGGUAAGUGGAACUCCGAGUGUAGAGGUGAAAUUCGUAGAUAUUCGGAAGAACACCAGUGGCGAAGGCGACUUACUGGUCCAUGACUGACGCUGAGGCUCGAAAGCGUGGGGAGCAAACAGGAUUAGAUACCCUGGUAGUCCACGCUGUAAACGAUGAUUGCUAGUUGUUGGCCGGCAUGCCGGUCGGUGACGCAGCUAACGCAUUAAGCAAUCCGCCUGGGGAGUACGGUCGCAAGAUUA
rnacentral:rRNA from 1 species